UGCAGUCGAGCGAACAGACGAGGACUUUGCUCCUUUGACGUUAGCGGCGGGCGGGUGAGUAACACCUGGGUAUGCUCCCUAUAGGACUGGGAUCCCUUCGGGAAACCGGAGCUAAUACCGGAUAAUAUUUCAAACCGCAUGGGUCCAUACUGAACGAUGGUUUUGCUAUCACUUAUAGAUGGACCCGCUCCGUAUUGGCUAGUUGGUCUAGCAACGGCUUACCAAGGCGACGAUACGUAACCGACCUGAGACGGUGAUCGACCAAACUGGAACUGAGACUCCUACCAGACUCCUACGGGAGGAAUUUUGAAGGAAUCUUCCGCAAUGGACGAAAGCCUGACGGAGCAACGCCGCGUGAGUGAUGAAGGUCUUCGGAUUUGUCACUCUGUUAUCCUUGAAGAACAUACGUGUAAGUAACUAUGCACGUCUUGACAGUACCUACUCACAAACUCACGGCUAACUACCUGCCAACAACCGCGGGAGUACGUAUGUGGCAAACGUUAUGCGGAAUUAUUGGGCGUAAAGCGCGCGUAAGCACCUAUUUAAGUCUGAUGUGAUCGCCCACGGAUCUGCCGUGGAGGGUGAUUGGAUACUGUAUGACUUGAGUGCAGAAAA
rnacentral:rRNA from 1 species